UCAAAAAUCAUAAACUGAAUGCAGAGUUAUUUUCAUCUUAAAUAAAACUUGGUAGAUUUAAAGUAUAAGUUUCAAGAAACAGACAUAGACACCGGAAUAAGGCAUGUCAGGUUUGGGUUACUAAUUUUGCUAUUCCCGUAUUAAAUGAGUCACCCUAAUUCACAGUUGGAGAGCUAGAUGUGGUUAUAUACCAAGGCAUAGUUGAAAGUUUUAUAAAAACAUCAUAAGCCAAAAUUUAGUAUCGUUAUGAUGGCGGUUUUAGGAUUUUAAUUUGACACUCUAGUCUCAAAUUGUGUUUGAUGUGGUUAUAACCAAGGCAGUGUUGAACUGAAAAUUUCAGAACAAAUUCAAAGAGUUAUCAGAAACAUAAUCAAUAUAAAGGCAAUGUUAGGAUUUUAAAAUCUGGCACCUAAUCUUAACUUAGCACUUGAAAUUUAACAGUGAAGUAUUAGACAUGCUUAUAAAACAGUGUUACUGAUUUUGAUGUAUACUUUGUGAGUACAGUUUGAGGUUCAUCUACGUGGGGUUCCUGAUGGAACAUUUGAUAUGAAUCCAGUCAUAGAGGAGAUGGUCUAACCAAUUCAGAUUG
rnacentral:lncRNA from 1 species